rnacentral:rRNA from 1 species
AGUGAACGCUGGCGGUAGGCCUAACACAUGCCAGUCGAACGGCAGCACAGUAAGAGCUUGCUCUUACGGGUGGCGAGUGGCGGACGGGUGAGGAAUACAUCGGAAUCUACUUUUUCGUGGGGGAUAACGUAGGGAAACUUACGCUAAUACCGCAUACGACCUACGGGUGAAAGCAGGGGAUCUUCGGACCUUGCGCGAUUGAAUGAGCCGAUGUCGGAUUAGCUAGUUGGCGGGGUAAAGGCCCACCAAGGCGACGAUCCGUAGCUGGUCUGAGAGGAUGAUCAGCCACACUGGAACUGAGACACGGUCCAGACUCCUACGGGAGGCAGCAGUGGGGAAUAUUGGACAAUGGGCGCAAGCCUGAUCCAGCCAUACCGCGUGGGUGAAGAAGGCCUUCGGGUUGUAAAGCCCCUUUGUUGGGAAAGAAAAGCAGCAGGUUAAUACCCCGCUGUUCUGACGGUACCCAAAGAAUAAGCACCGGCUAACUUCGU